ACGCUAGCUACAGGCUUAACACAUGCAAGUCGAGGGGCAGCAUGGUCUUAGCUUGCUAAGGCCGAUGGCGACCGGCGCACGGGUGAGUAACACGUAUCCAACCUGCCGUCUACUCUUGGACAGCCUUCUGAAAGGAAGAUUAAUACAAGAUGGCAUCAUGAGUCCGCAUGUUCACAUGAUUAAAGGUAUUCCGGUAGACGAUGGGGAUGCGUUCCAUUAGAUAGUAGGCGGGGUAACGGCCCACCUAGUCUUCGAUGGAUAGGGGUUCUGAGAGGAAGGUCCCCCACAUUGGAACUGAGACACGGUCCAAACUCCUACGGGAGGCAGCAGUGAGGAAUAUUGGUCAAUGGGCGAGAGCCUGAACCAGCCAAGUAGCGUGAAGGAUGACUGCCCUAUGGGUUGUAAACUUCUUUUAUAAAGGAAUAAAGUCGGGUAUGGAUACCCGUUUGCAUGUACUUUAUGAAUAAGGAUCGGCUAACUCCGUGCCAGCAGCCGCGGUAAUACGGAGGAUCCGAGCGUUAUCCGGAUUUAUUGGGUUUAAAGGGAGCGUAGAUGGAUGUUUAAGUCAGUUGUGAAAGUUUGCGGCUCAACCGUAAAAUUGCAGUUGAUACUGGAUAUCUUGAGUGCAGUUGAGGCAGGCGGAAUUCGUGGUGUAGCGGUGAAAUGCUUAGAUAUCACGAAGAACUCCGAUUGCGAAGGCAGCCUGCUAAGCUGCAACUGACAUUGAGGCUCGAAAGUGUGGGUAUCAAACAGGAUUAGAUACCCUGGUAGUCCACACGGUAAACGAUGAAUACCCGCUGUUUGCGAUAUACUGCAAGCGGCCAAGCGAAAGCGUUAAGUAUUCCACCUGGGGAGUACGCCGGCAACGGUGAAACUCAAAGGAAUUGACGGGGGCCCGCACAAGCGGAGGAACAUGUGGUUUAAUUCGAUGAUACGCGAGGAACCUUACCCGGGCUUAAAUUGCAGAUGAAUUACGGUGAAAGCCGUAAGCCGCAAGGCAUCUGUGAAGGUGCUGCAUGGUUGUCGUCAGCUCGUGCCGUGAGGUGUCGGCUUAAGUGCCAUAACGAGCGCAACCCUUGUUGUCAGUUACUAACAGGUUCCGCUGAGGACUCUGACAAGACUGCCAUCGUAAGAUGUGAGGAAGGUGGGGAUGACGUCAAAUCAGCACGGCCCUUACGUCCGGGGCUACACACGUGUUACAAUGGGGGGUACAGAGGGCCGCUACCACGCGAGUGGAUGCCAAUCCCCAAAACCUCUCUCAGUUCGGACUGGAGUCUGCAACCCGACCCCACGAAGCUGGAUUCGCUAGUAAUCGCGCAUCAGCCACGGCGCGGUGAAUACGUUCCCGGGCCUUGUACACACCGCCCGUCAAGCCAUGGGAGCCGGGGGUACCUGAAGUGCGUAACCGCGAGGAGCGCCCUAGGGUAAAACUGGUGACUGGGG
rnacentral:rRNA from 1 species